CAGUCGCCGCGGGAAUACAGAGGGUGCGAGCGUUAAUCGGAUUUACUGGGCGUAAAGCGUGCGUAGGCGGCUUUUUAAGUCGGAUGUGAAAUCCCUGAGCUUAACUUAGGAAUUGCAUUCGAUACUGGGAAGCUAGAGUAUGGGAGAGGAUGGUAGAAUUCCAGGUGUAGCGGUGAAAUGCGUAGAGAUCUGGAGGAAUACCGAUGGCGAAGGCAGCCAUCUGGCCUAAUACUGACGCUGAGGUACGAAAGCAUGGGGAGCAAACAGGAUUAGAGACCCCAGUAGUCCCUGUCUCUUAUAA
rnacentral:rRNA from 1 species